GACGAACGCUGGCGGCGUGCUUAACACAUGCAAGUCGAACGGAAAGGCCCUGCUUUUGUGGGGUGCUCGAGUGGCGAACGGGUGAGUAACACGUGAGUAACCUGCCCUUGACUUUGGGAUAACUUCAGGAAACUGGGGCUAAUACCGGAUAGGAGCUCCUGCUGCAUGGUGGGGGUUGGAAAGUUUCGGCGGUUGGGGAUGGACUCGCGGCUUAUCAGCUUGUUGGUGGGGUAGUGGCUUACCAAGGCUUUGACGGGUAGCCGGCCUGAGAGGGUGACCGGCAACAUGGGGACGGAGAUACGGCCCAGACGCAUACGGGAGGCAGCAGGGGGGAAUAUUGAACAAUGGGUGGAAGCCUGAUGCAGCAACGCCGCGUGCGGGAUGACGGCCUUCGGGUUGUAAACCGCUUUCGCCUGUGACGAAGCGUGAGUGACGGUAAUGGGUAAAGAAGCACCGGCUAACUACGU
rnacentral:rRNA from 1 species